GUGUUUGGGAUUCAGCUGGAGCUGGUAGAGGUGGCGAUGUCAUCUGGGUCCCCCUCUCUGGCCUAAUCUGGUGAGGACAUUUCUCAGGACAAGGAUGAAGAUGGUCCGGGGUCCCAGGAGAUGGUGUGGAUUGCAGCCAUGAUGGUGAAGCUUGUCUAGUUUAAUCUAUUGAGAAGCGAAUAAAGGGUUAAACAGUUGUCCACCCACAAGAAUUCAAAGUCUAACACAAUAAAGUGACAUCAUUUCCCUUUGCUCUGGCAUGAAAGGAGUGGAUUUCAAAGUGAGGUGAUUCUAGACUAACGAAUCAGGAAGGCCAGACAGAAGGUCCCCUAAAUUGAUUGGCGCUCCCCUGAUUAAACAGGAAAUGUUGUGUGCUCAAGAUCUCUUAUUUUCCAGGUACCAUGACCUCCUUAGACACAGCAACGUAGAUUGACUUUCCUGGGCAGAAGGAGGGUGUUGGGGAAAACAGGUGUCCUACAAACAUCAGCUGUCAAGAAGUACUGGAUCCUGCCCAGGUUUGGCAUCAGUUCGGAAGAGAGAAACUUGCCCUUCCUCUUGGACAGAAGGAGCCAAAUUCGGUAAUACCUGGUGUAAACUGAACGAGAUGGACAGAGUUAUACCUUGGAUGAGCUUAUUCCAAGGUGCUUAGAUGCUGAUGAAUAUGUGCAUCACUUAGAAAAAAUCAAGGGAGAGGAAAAAUAACGAUCCCCGUACUAAAUCCCAAACCAAGAAACUCGGACAGGCUCAUCAUCAUCAUUGUGCUGUAACAAUAUGUUAAAAUUAUGUUCAAAUGGACAAACUCAUACUGAAGGCUGGGCAAUUAAGUAAGACAUGUCUUAGUAAAAACAAAUAUUCUAUACUGGUAUAACAAAAAACAAGGAAGAAAAAUGAAGAUAAAUAAAAUCAGCGCAUAAAUACUAUUCCGAAGUGGCUAUA